AUGAAACUGACAGCAUCUGCACAAAACAAAACAAAAAAACCCUCUUUUCCCUCUUUUCUAGGCAGCAGGAAUUAUGUGACAUCCUUGUGGCCUAUUCUGCAUAUAACCCUAGUACCUCAUGAAGCUUUCCUGGAGCACCAUCUGGGAGUUUCAGGAGCAACUGUCUCAGAGCUGGGCCCUGGAGGACAACGCAGUCCUCAGGAACCUUCAAACCUCCAUGAAGGAAUUCACAAGGAAACACUGGGACCUGCCACCCCCAGCUCCACACAGACCCGCAUGUCGGGGGUCCGUGUUUCCUGUGCUGCCAUUUUGAACACGGCUCCUGGGACUCUGUCACUUCUCCGUCUUCUGUGGACAGCCCUGGAACAAAAAGACAGACCCCACCCAGCGAGCCCACUGGGACCCCGACACCAGGCCCUGCCCUGGCUUAUAACAGAGAAGAGGCCGGUCAAGAGAUACCCCAGCAGCAAGGUGGCACCUGCCUGUGACUCCCCUCAGUAGAAGAAGAACUUGGAAUGGAAGGAGCCCAGGCAGUACCUGCCCAGCUGCCUUACAGCCCCAGAUGGCUGCUGGACCUUGGUUUUUACUGCUAUUUUAUUUUUAUUUUAUAUUUUUGGCUUGUGGGCCUUGAGAAAUCCCAUUCAAUGGGGGACUUGGUCCCAUCAAGGCCUCAGGAGGGAAGGCUGAGCAUGGGGUUCCCACAGCCCCAGCCAGCCAGCAGCGUGCCCUGGGGCCCCUGACUCCACCUGUGGGUCAGAGUCCCUCCCCCAGGGCCCAAGUCCCAGUCCAGAGGGACCUGGCUUCAACCCGAGUCCUAGGAGGAGAGGGGCACCGCAGGCCUCCAGGUGACCACACAAGAGACCAGGGCAUUGCAAGCCCUGAUGCUGUAAGGAUUAACAUCAGAGAACCUGGGUAAGCCAGGCCAGAGACGCUGAGCCCGUGCAGUGAUGAGGAUGUGGGGGGCUGGCUCAAGGGGGUCAACAGCUGUGAACACUGCUGCCUCUUCCCGACCUCAUUGCUGCAGUGCAGGCAGUCUGCAUCCCGGAGACUGGCCCACCAGCGCCCCAAGUGCCCUAGUCCGCUAUGCCAACGUGGCACCCAGAGACUUCGCAGCCCUGCCUGCCGCACCACCCCCCUCCUGGAAGCCUUGUCCUGCAGCCUAGUCCCUGUUACAGCCACAGCAGGCACCACUGCCAAGCGCCUUCCAGCCCGGCUUCCCAGAGGGCAGAGGCGCCCUGCAGUCAUUGCCUCAGCAGCUCACACUGUGAAGAUAGUUUCAUCUACAUUCCCAUGUUCCCACCAAAGAGAAUCGCUGCAGAGGAUGCUCUUGAUCCUGAGGUGGGGAAAACGGCACGCCAGGUGAAUGGAGUCAGCUCCUUUCCCCAGCCACCACAACUGCUGGAUGGACCCACGGACAAAGUGGCCAUCAGACAGGAAUGAGACACAAGAGGCUCAGCAUCCUGCUUGUACCCUGACCAGGAUGACCAGGCCGACACCACUGCCGAGUGCCCCAUCUGCUGAGAGACUUGGUGUCGAUCCCUGGGCUGGCACUGUUUCCCAGGAGGACCGGUUGGCCACCUGUGGGCAGGCUACCCACACUGUGGAGAGGGUUGAGAUCGGCUUUCACUGCAGAGAGCUCCUACCUGGACACAGACUCGCCGGCCCUGCCUGUUGCCAUCACAGCAGCCCACAGGGCAUUGCUUGCGACCAGGGUACCCCAUUCACAGUGAGGGACAUGGAGCCAUGGCCCCGAUCAGGGAACUAACUGUUCUCACUACGUCAGCCACCACCUGGAAACAUCGCUCAGUUACACUGAAGUGAUGGUUUGUCUUACAAGAUAAAUGUUAUGCUUUCUACUGGAAACCAGUAUACGGUGCUGACUCUCCGACAGCCAGACGGUGUAGUUCUGAGAGAGUGAAGGUGUGAAAGUAGGCGAUGUUCAGUAUUGCAUGGAAUGUCUCAGUCACAAAGUUUUCCUAUGCCUGUCCUGGAGAAAUGGAGCUUUGCUGGUUGGAAGGUCUGAGGACCCAGGCAGAGUGAAGCUUCCCCCAGGGGAACACAACAAUGGCUCUAUUUAAUAUGAGAAGACAGGACUAAGUCUGAAACCCAGGGUGUUCUCUGGUGUUCUUGGUGUUUUCAUGCAAAGAAAGUCAAAUAACAAAGGUUUGCCACAGAGGCAUCUGAAAAAGGAGGGGGCAGAACUAUUCAGAUCUCAGAGGCUUCAGAAUCGAAGAUGAGGCCAACCAGGAGACUCCUGACCUGCUGAGGGCAGGGAAAGUAUGUGGGGGUGGCUGGGAGACGAUGUCAUAGCGAUCUACCCCCACCUUGUGAUCUGUCAGAGAACCGUGCUCUUGAAUAGCUGUGUACAUCUUCUCUCCACUGAUUAUAGUAUUUCUUUCCAUUUGUGACUCUCCAAUCAAGCAAGGAGCUUGCUACAAAAUGCACUUUGCUAUACCAUAGCCUGGGUCUUGCAAUCCAAGGCUGGCAAGGAUUCCUGUAGGUCAAGGGCCUCAGGUGACUUUUGUGCACACCCAAGGACAGAGUCCUAGAUGACACCUUCCUGCUCUAAAAAGAAGGAACAAGCGUCAACGAACAGCGAGCCAGUCACGGAAAGGGGUGAAAUGUGAGUGCGUGACCUUCCUGACACCCAGACAAGACUUUGGGCAUGAGGGCAGGCUGCAGCUCUGGCCACUGACUCUGACCAGGGACGCCCCCAUGCAGGCCAGUGUGCCCUGGUUGCUCUUCUCCCUCCUGCCACCCUCUCCUCGGCUGUCUGUGUUGGGGAGGGAGAACCUGCCAGUUUUCAGAAGAAAAUGUAGCUUUAUUAUGACAUGGGAAAGACUCAAGUUAUUAGGGGAGGAGGAGGAGUCCUGAAACAGCUCCUGAAAAUGAGAGGGAAAAGAAAGGUGUAAAUAUGUUGGUAAUAAAGUCUCCAACCACAGCACAGUCAUGGGAAUGUUUUUGUUACAAUUUUUGUUUUCAAAGUUACAGUAAACAAAACAGUCUCCUGAAUUGUCAAAAGAACAGCAGUUUUACACAAUGAAAAGCAUACACACCAAGCCAAAAUAAGUCACACUUGGGUCUGUAUGUUGCAGUGGUGCUGGUGCAGGAGGGAACAUCCAGGGAGGUUCCAGUGCCUGCCAGGCAGCCCAGGUCCACUGAGGGCCCCGGGGCUGGAGGCAGGUCAUGUACCACUCGGCUCAAAGCGCUCCCUUCAAGCAUCUGAAGAGGGAAAGUCCAUUUAUCUUCUCUGAAAUGCAGGCAAUUUUUCAUACACUGGUGUGAAUGUGUUGGGGUCACCCAGGGGCUCCCUUAGUGGCCAGAUGCAGUUUGUCACAAACUGGUUUCCUGAAUUUCAUAUUGGAUCGGGAGCUAAAAGAAGAGAGAUUCCCAAACCCAUCAUGUCAAUAUUUGGUUCUAACAAAGUAAAAUCACAAGAGCACAUCAAACACAGGACCUAAUGCCCACGGCAGUGCCCAGGGCUGCUGUCCCUCUUGGGUGAGAAGUUCUUUAGCAGCAGGCACAGAGGUAAUUGCUUAGAAAGGCAAUGCCACAGUGAGUAAGGGAGAUUAACUUGGAUACAAACAUUUAGAAAGAUGCCUGAAGAAAACUAAUGUGGCUCCAUCUCUCUUCUGGAUUCUAAUGUUCCCAGAGCAGCAGCCACCCCUAAAUGCAAGUGGAGACAGGAUGGAAGCCCAGGGAGACAUGGGGGAGGCGGGGCUUGGCCAAACCACAGGCAGCUGCCAGAAAGGCCGACACACCUGCAUUCUGCACUCUGUGGUGGACACCCCAGGAAAGCAGGGGUGCCCCUGUAACUGCCAAACAGGUUCACCUUGUCCGCGGCCUAGACAGAGCCGAUUUAUUGAGACAGGGGAAUUGCAACAGAGAAAGAGUAAUUCAUGCAAAGCUGGCCGUAGGAGAGACCAGAGUUAUACUCCAAUCAGUCUCCAUUGGCAUGAUCCAUCAGCAUUCGGGGAUCAGAGUUUGGAAGGAUAAUUUGGUAGGUGGUGGGGAAGGCCAGUGAGUCGGGAGUGCUGAUUGCUUGGAUCAGACAUGAAAUCACAGGGAGUCAAAGCUGUCUUCUUGAGCUGAGUCAGUUCCUGGGUAAGAGCCACAAAAUCAGAUGAGGCAGUUUAUCAAUCUGGGUGGUGCCAGUUGAUCCAUCAAGAGCAAAUCUCUCAAGCACCGAUCUUAGGUUUUACAAUAGGGACGUAAUUCCCAGGAGCAAUUUGGGGAGGGGCAGAAUCUUGUAGCCUCCAGCUGCAUGAGUCCUAAACCAUAAUUUCUAAUCUUGUGGCUCAUUUGUUAGUCUUACAAAGGCCGUCUAGUCCCUAGGUGAGAAGGAGGUUUGUUUUGGGAAAGGGCUGUUAUCAUCUUUGUUUUAAAGUAUAAACUAUAAACUAAUAAAUGUGCUUUAUCAGUUAGGUGUGGUGGCUCACACCUGUAAUCCUAGCACUUUGGGAAGUCAAGAUAGGCAGAUAACUUGAGCCCAGGAGUUAGAGACCAGCCUGGGCAACAUGGAGACCCUGUCUCUACAAAAAAAUACAAAAAUUAGCCAGGCAUGGUGGUGUGGCGUAUGCUUGUAGUUCCAGCUACUCAGGAGGCUGAGGUGGGAGGAUCUUGAGCUCAGGAGGCG
rnacentral:lncRNA from 1 species